GGGGGGGGGGGGGGGGGGGGUGGGGGGAGGCGGGGCGGGCGGGGGGGGGGGGCUGGUGUGGGGUGCGGGGGUGGCGGGCGGGUGGGUGACCCGUGAGUAACCUGCCAUUGCCUUUGGGAUGACUUCAGGCAGCUGGGGCUAACCCCGGAUAGGAGCUCCUGCUGCGUGGUGGGGGUUGGAAAGUUUUGGCGGUUGGGGAUGGACUCGCGGCUUAUCCGCUCGUUGGUGGAGUAGUGGCUUACCGAGGCUUUGCCGGGUCGCCGGCCUGAGCGGGUGACCGGCCACAUUGGGACUGAGAUACGGCCCAGACUCCGACGGGAGGCAGCAGUGGGGAAUAUUGCACAAUGGGCGGAAGCCUGAUGCAGGGACGCCGCGUGCGGGAUGACGGCCUGCGGGUGGUAAACCGCUUUCGCUUGGGACGAAGCGUGAGUGACGGUAAGGGGGAAAGAAGCACCGGCUAACUACGUG
rnacentral:rRNA from 1 species